rnacentral:rRNA from 1 species
AGCUGCUACGGCAGUGAAGUCAUUGAUGCCAUGCUUCCAGGAAAAGCCUCUAAGCUUCAGAUAGUCAGGAAUCGUACCCCAAACCGACACAGGUGGUCGGGUAGAGAAUACCAAGGCGCUUGAGAGAACUCGGGUGAAGGAACUAGGCAAAAUGGUACCGUAACUUCGGGAGAAGGUACGCUCUUGAUGGUGAAGUCCCUCGCGGAUGGAGCUGACGAGAGUCGCAGAUACCAGGUGGCUGCAACUGUUUAUUAAAAACACAGCACUGUGCAAAAUCGCAAGAUGACGUAUACGGUGUGACGCCUGCCCGGUGCCGGAAGGUUAAUUGAUGGGGUUAGCGCAAGCGAAGCUCUUGAUCGAAGCCCCGGUAAACGGCGGCCGUAACUAUAACGGUCCUAAGGUAGCGAAAUUCCUUGUCGGGUAAGUUCCGACCUGCACGAAUGGCGUAAUGAUGGCCACGCUGUCUCCACCCGAGACUCAGUGAAAUUGAAAUCGCUGUGAAGAUGCAGUGUACCCGCGGCUAGACGGAAAGACCCCGUGAACCUUUACUACAGCUUGGCACUGAACAUUGAACCUACAUGUGUAGGAUAGGUGGGAGGCUAUGAAGACGUGACGCCAGUUGCGUUGGAGCCGUCCUUGAAAUACCACCCUUGUAUGUUUGAUGUUCUAACUUAGACCCAUUAUCUGGGUUGAGGACAGUGCCUGGUGGGUAGUUUGACUGGGGCGGUCUCCUCCCAAAGAGUAACGGAGGAGCACGAAGGUGGGCUAAUCACGGUUGGACAUCGUGAGGUUAGUGCAAUGGCAUAAGCCCGCUUAACUGCGAGAAUGACGGUUCGAGCAGGUGCGAAAGCAGGUCAUAGUGAUCCGGUGGUUCUGUAUGGAAGGGCCAUCGCUCAACGGAUAAAAGGUACUCCGGGGAUAACAGGCUGAUACCGCCCAAGAGUUCAUAUCGACGGCGGUGUUUGGCACCUCGAUGUCGGCUCAUCACAUCCUGGGGCUGAAGUCGGUCCCAAGGGUAUGGCUGUUCGCCAUUUAAAGUGGUACGCGAGCUGGGUUUAGAACGUCGUGAGACAGUUCGGUCCCUAUCUGCCGUGGGCGUUGGAAGAUUGAAGGGGGCUGCUCCUAGUACGAGAGGACCGGAGUGGACGAACCUCUGGUGUUCGGGUUGUGUCGCCAGACGCAUUGCCCGGUAGCUAAGUUCGGAAUUGAUAAGCGCUGAAAGCAUCUAAGCGCGAAGCGAGC